GUGUCAGCCGCCGCGUAAUACGUAGGGCGCAAGCGUUGUCCGGAAUUAUUGGGCGUAAAGAGCUCGUAGGCGGCCUGUUACGUCUGCUGUGAAAUCCCGGGGCUUAACCCCGGGCGUGCAGUGGAUACGGGCAGGCUGGAGGCAGGCAGGGGAGAACGGAAUUCCCGGUGUAGCGGUGAAAUGCGCAGAUAUCGGGAGGAACACCGGUGGCGAAGGCGGUUCUCUGGGCCUGUACUGACGCUGAGGAGCGAAAGCGUGGGGAGCGAACAGGAUUAGAUACCCGCGUAGUCC
rnacentral:rRNA from 1 species